rnacentral:lncRNA from 1 species
AAGAAAUGGGUUGUGGAAGUAUGUGUUGUGAUAUCUUAUUCUUAUGUUUCAUCACUUUGUGUCUUAUUAUGGUUCUAAUUAGGACCUCUUUUUUGAACUCAUGGUUAACGUUGAUGCUUGUUUUAUAUGCUAAAAUGUUAUCCUCACCUUUGCCCUUCCCCACCCCUCAAAAUAGAAGAAGAAAAAGAUAUUGCAGUUGUGACUCUGUAGUUUGCUUUUUUCAUACAGUACAAUAACAACAACAACAUACCUAGUAAAAUCUCAA